GAUGAACGCUAGCUACAGGCUUAACACAUGCAAGUCGCGGGGCAGCAUGGGGGUUGCUUGCAAUCCCCGAUGGCGACCGGCGCACGGGUGAGUAACGCGUAUCCAACCUGCCCUUCACCACGGGAUAACCCGGCGAAAGUCGGACUAAUACCGUAUGUUGUCCAUUGACGGCAUCCGAUUUGGACGAAAGGCUUGGCGGUGAGGGAUGGGGAUGCGUCCGAUUAGCCAGACGGCGGGGUAACGGCCCACCGUGGCUACGAUCGGUAGGGGUUCUGAGAGGAAGGUCCCCCACACUGGAACUGAGACACGGUCCAGACUCCUACGGGAGGCAGCAGUGAGGAAUAUUGGUCAAUGGGCGUAAGCCUGAACCAGCCAAGUAGCGUGCAGGAUGACGGCCCUAUGGGGUGUAAACUGCUUUUAUGCGGGGAUAAAGUGGCCCACGUGUGGGCUUUUGCAGGUACCGCAUGAAUAAGGACCGGCUAAUUCCGU
rnacentral:rRNA from 1 species